GUCGUACAAAAUAAUAUUUCAAUGGAAAAAAAAAUAUAUGUGCUAAUAGUAUAUAUAUAUAAAUAUCCUUCCUUUUUAUUUUUUUUACAAUCAAGACAAUUAGCAAUAUCUAACAGUGUAUGGCAUAAGAUAAAUUGUUCUUUCGGAUUAAUUUUUCAACAUACACAAAUAAGUAUACAUAAGUAUAUACCUAAAUAUAUAUUUUGUUUUGAGAAAUUUAAAAUGUACUAAUAUAGUUGAGUAAUUAAUGAAAAACUUGUUUUACUGCUUAUAUAUAUUAUAUGAAUAUACAUAUCUUUGUUUAUACGUGUUUCAUUUUUCACAGUUAUAGAAGCUGAUUUUUUUACCCUUUUUUUCCUUUAUCUUAUUUUAUUAAUCUCCCUUUUUUAUUAAUUUUACCAUAUUUUAGCUCAACAUAAUUUAUUUUAUUUUGCUUAUUUGAUUACUCUGUUUUUAGCUAGUUAAAAAAAAAAUAAAUAAAUAAAAAUAAAAAUAAGGAAUAACCCUUACGUUUUAAUUUGAAAUGUUGGUUAGCCAUUUUUUUUUUUUUUUUGAUUCAAAAAACAAUAUUUAAAAAAAAAAAAAACCAAGUGCCUUAUUAUUAUAUAUAUUUUUUUUUAUAUAAAACAUUUUUAUAUAUUAUUUUUUAAUAUUUAAUAAUGCUAAUAAAAUAAUAAACUACUUUUCAUGAUUUCUAGGUUUGUUGUUUCUUUUUGUGUCAUUUUAUUUUUACAUUUAUUAUGUAUAUAUAUUAAGAUUUUAUUGAAUUUGUUAUACAGAAAUGAGUAAUAUAUUAAAUCACUUCCGUGUUUUAAAGGUAGUUACUGAAGAUAAUCCGUUAGUGACAUUUAAUUUAUUUGUAGCUAGUACGAAAGAUAAUACGAAUAAUGAUGGAUCAUGUAGUGAAAUAUUAUGUGUUGCUGUACUUGAUAAUAUAAUUAAUGGAGAACAUUUAAGAAAAUUUAUGACUAACUUUGGAGAUGUCGUUUUUUUUAAUAUUACUGAGAAUGAAAAUUUAUCAAUAAACUUAAAAAUAUUUGCAUAUUGUUUAUAUAUAAAGUUUAAAGAACAAGCUGCAAUAGAUGUUAUAUUAAGUUAUAGUGUUAAAAUAAAUGAAUACUUUAAAAAUAAUAUACAGGUACCAUAUUUUAUAAAAAUAGAAAAAAACAAUUAUAGUACCUACAUAAAAGAUUAUUAUAACCAGAAUUACAAUUUAUAUAAUGGUAGAAAAAUAAUAGUUAACGAUAUUAUAAAUUCAAAUAAAGUUAACAAAAAAAAAAAAAUUGUUAAUACAGUUGAUAGUGAUGGCUUUACGGUUGUUCAAAGGUCGUUGAAUAAACCGGAAAUAGUAAAUUCUGUUUUUUCCCAAACCGAUGAUAAACUUAGUUAUUUAAAAAAAAAAGAAAAAAAAAAAACUUAUGGAAAUUUUUAUUUAUUUAAAAAAAAAGACAGUCAUAAGCUAAAUUUUAUUUAUACAAAAGAAAUAGUAAAGAAAAAGCGAAAAGAAGUAAACCAAAAAAAAAAAAUAAUAAAAUAAAAAUUACCAAAUUCGUUUAAAGUUAUUUAUGUAAAUAUAUUCAAUUAGUGUAAAUAUGUACAUAUACAUAUAAAAAAAAAAUUAAAUAGAAAACAAAAAUUAAAAGUAAAAGUAAUUUUAUAAAACGCUAAAAAUUAUGAAGAUUGUGUAAAUGUAUAAAUGUAUUUGAUCUAUGUUUUAUUUUUUAAUUAUUUUUACGCAAAGUAUAUUUACGUUUUUUUUGUUUUGUUUUCAACUAUUUAAUGAUAAUUAUAUAUUUUUAAUACUUCUUGUUUUAGUCAUUUGAUUAAUUUUUUUUUUUAUAAAAAUUAUUCAUUUAUACUUACACGAUAAUAUACAUAAGAAGUAUUUAAUAAAAAAUAGUGAAACUGUAUUAAAAUAUGUUAA
ensembl:lncRNA